UACGUAGGGGGCGAGCGUUAUCCGGAUUUAUUGGGCGUAAAGCGUGCGUAGGCGGUUUGUUAAGUUUAAGAUAAAAGCCUGGGGCUCAACCCCAGUUCGUCUUAGAAACUGGCAGACUAGAGUGUGGUAGAGGCAAACGGAAUUUCUAGUGUAGCGGUGAAAUGCGUAGAUAUUAGAAGGAACACCAGUGGCGAAGGCGGUUUGCUGGGCCAUUACUGACGCUGAGGCACGAAAGCGUGGGGAGCAAAUAGG
rnacentral:rRNA from 1 species